UACAGUUUGGGGGUUGUAUUGAUACUUUUGCAUUGUAGAAUUUCUGAAAACAAAUUAUUACUUAAAGCUCCUGUGACAAGUUUUCAGUUGGUUAUGACAAAGACUUGAAUUUAUACAGAUGUCUCUUUAUGAUCUCAAAGAAGAAACAAAAACUUCCAAAAACAUGAUAUAUGAUCUCCAUGUAGUCAUGUCAUAUUUUUGAAACCACUACCAGGGUGAGUGUUGGACAGAUUCACUGAUUGCAUACUGCCAAAACAGCCCUUUAGUGCAGUUUUUACAUACUCGUCAUCCUUCACAGCCCUAAUUAGUUGUCACAUUUAAUAAUACACACAUUUUAGAGUCACUGAGGAGUAGACAGACAAAACUAACCCACCCAAAAGUGUGCUUUGGCAUGAUUUAAAUAGACUGCUUUAAAAAUAAGUUAAAUAUGGCCUCCCAGUCUCCAUUUACACGACACACUCAAACUCUGACAGAGGCAGAGCCGCACGCAGUGAGCAACUUGGGGUUCAGUGUCUUUCUCAAGGACACUUUGACAAGUGGAACUGCCAAUCCUGCAAUUAAUGGGAACCCUCUCCACCUCCUGAGCCGCAGCUGUCCCAGGGAUGACAAGUUUAGGAUUUCUUGUUCCUCUUUUGCUACUUAGCUCCUCCAUAAAAAAGUCCACUGCUCCACUUUGAGCAAAGGCGCCCCAAAAACUCAGAUCUGGGCUUUAUCCACUUACAACUACUGGCAGAUAAUGACUGUCCAAGAAGCAAAACUUCUACUCUAGACAUAGCCAUUUUGGACACGUUUAACCACUUUGAAUCAAAGAUGCUGUCAAACUUCAUCUCAGUUUGAUGUUAUUCUUUAAGAGAGUUCAAGAAACAGGCAUCUGCAUUCACCAAUAUGAAGAGAAACCAACAGGCUCUUUUGGAGCUCUGUUCAGAAUUCUCCUUCCGCACAGAUUAUAGGUCAGACCUUUCCCCAAAAGCUUAAUGCAGCAUCACAAACAGAUUCAAGACUCAGAUGCAACACAGCAGUUUAUACAGAAUGGCAUGAUCCUGCAAGCAGUCUUGACCUUUCUUAUGCAGAGGAUAAGAGGUUUGAAAAUGAGUUUUAAAGGGCUGUUUUCUAAGAGACUCAUAAUGGACCUGAGAUAAAAAUAACUAAGCCAUGAUAGCUAUAAUAUAGAACUUUACUGUUUUCAUGACAAGCUGUUUAAAUGACCCUCAAAAUGUAAGUCCACCGUGGCGCAUACAGCAGAGCACGUUUUUGUCAAACUUUUACAUCAGGUUUUCUUGAAACCCCGUCAGUGUCUGUGGAGUUGGUGAAAACAAAAAGAUUACUCUAACUUGCAGAAAAAGUGGAUUUCCCUAGGAUCACAGAAAAAGUACAAAAAAGCAGUGUUGAAAAAUGUAAACAAUGACAUCUGCAGUUCCUUGAGUGUCCACUGGGGGCUCGCUGCUACAGCCAAGAAAACCCCAUGAAGUGCCAUGUUAAAAUAAUAAUUUAUACAGCAGAAACAGACAUGCUUCACAUCUUUGCCUGUUUGCACGCUGAUUGAAAGUUGAGUUGAAUCACCUCAGUGACUAAUAAGUGACUUUUUUCCCCUCUUUUUAGUUGUAAAUGAAGGCUCCAAGUAGUAUAAAAGCUAGAACACACCUACAUAUAUUUUUUUGGAUGUGGAUGAAAUUAUUUACUUGCCUAUUUCACAUUUUAACACCUGAAUAGUUUGUAUCUGUUUGCUUAAUUUGUGUGAGUAAUGCGCUCCAUUUGCCUGCAUAAUUGUGCCCACGUGAGCAUCCAAACACGCAGAUUCAUGCAAGAGACGAGGGGUUACCUGCACACCGUUUCAGUUUGUUUUUAUCAGACAUAAUUUAGGUUGACUAGGCUAUGAGGAUUUGUUGUGUUUUCACACCUUACCAGAAAGUCUGAUCUCCUCACUCACUUUACUCUAAGCAAUUAAAUUCCUGUGUCUAUUAAGUCUAUUAUGAUUCGCUAUCACGCUGCUGGUGACCCUGGCGUGUUCAACCUGCAGCCAAUGACAACACUAAUGUUAAGUGAUGCAUGCAAAUCGCUGCAAAUUACCUGUGGGUAUAUAUUUGCUAACUUCAGACCUUCAUGUUGCUCCUAAAUAACAUCCAAAGUCUCUCAGAUUUGUACUGAACAUUUGGCAUCUACAAAGAAUCUGACCUUGUGUCUUUCUUUAUUACGACUGUCAUUUCCCCCCCUUGUCAGCUGACUUUGCAGUCUGCUCAGUCCCUAGUGAAGUUUGGACAUCUUCAGCAAUUUAAGUUAAGGGGAGUCCCUUCUUUCUCAUACCCUCGGGCCGUGUUGUCUGUCAGCGGGCACAUCAGAGCUGUCACUCAGGAGGCGCACCAGAGCAUGAACUCUAAAGACAUCAAAUACGUCACAGUUCUCCUGCUGACAACUGAAGGUCCUCUAAGUUGCUGCACAACCACGGUUAAAAGAGUUCAAUUUUGUUGCUGCUUCAACUUUGUUUUCCAAUUUUUUAUAUUUAUUUUCUCUUGCGGCACAAGAUCAACUCAAAACACACCCUGUACUUGGUUUAUAACUCUUUUCAGUUCAUAAGUAGAGCAAUAGUUUUAUAUUUAAUGUGAGAUAUUUAAAUUAAUCACUGGCUGGCCUUUCUGUAUGAGUGCAAACUGCACCGGGCAGAGGCACAUCCAAAACUAUUUCAGUUGUCAGUAGUUAAACGCAUGUUACGAUCAACAGUUUGGAAUAAGUUUCGAAAGCUGCAAGUGGCUGUCUUUAAAUUUAAAUAUAGUACUUUAUAUUCUUGGUAAUUUAAUUGAUAAUACAUUUUUUAUUAAAAACGAGCUAAAGAGAGAAUAUUUUUUUCUUUUUGUCUUGAAAAUAUGUUUUGAAAUAUUGACUUCUGGUCCAUCUCACCUGAGGCAAGACGGCAAAGUUGUCAGUCAAAACCCAUAACCUUAGUAUAUUGAAAAAAAAGCUUUACCAAAAAGUUCUCCACCAGUCAGUGUGUGGGGAUAGAAAAAUAUGAAUUAUGUCGAUCAAAAGUGCUUUUGAACCGUUUUGGACAUUUAUUCUUGAUGUAAAGAUUGGCUGUUUUGAAUGAGUGCGUAUGUGAAAUCUGGCACUUUCGCAGACAGCCUCAAGUGGUCAUUGGAGGAACUGCAGUUUUGACCACCAAAUACAAAAAAGAGGACAACAGAGAAAAGUAAAAUACAGAAGGAGAGUGGUUUAUGUGUGAUACUGAUCCCUCUGUAUUACUUGUCAAGGUAAACAAAAGACAAAAAGGUAAGGUAUUAUUUUCUCUUCAUCCAUAGGGCUUUUUCCAGGUGUGAUCAAUGACUGCAUUUUGGAAAGUUUUUCAAACAAAUCUAUGAAAGAAAUCUCUUGGUUGUAUGUUUUGCUGUACUUUCAGGCAAUCUAAUCAGUGUGCCUUUCAUAAAAUGAUUUAGGGGCCACCCUUUCUUUUUAUACGGCCUCCUUCUGGCUCCAGGUAAGCAGCCAAACUGUCACUCAAACAUUCAGUGGGUGACAUCCUGGUUACUCUGCUCCUAUUUAUGCAGUCUAUAGGGAUAACGUCCUCUUUUUUUUCUCCCUGCUUGCAAUUGAUGGUUUUUCCUCUGCGUGCUCUCCAUUUCCUCGAUCGUCCCUGAUAAUAACGUCUGUUCUCUCUGCCUCUACCUUCUGCAUCACCUUCUCAAUCUCCUAUCCAUUAUUGAUGUUGUUCCCUUCUGCUAUCAUUUGCAGGGCUUGUGCCUAAACCCCGCCCUUCCCUAUUAUUGUCACAAACAGUUCCAGUUCACAGCCUGUUGUAUUUAAGUAUUCCGGCCAGAACCACAAACAAUUUCAAGGCACACAUCAAGGUGGAGAUGAGGCUCUGUGAUGGUUAUUCAGUGUGAAAUUCCCGACGGUAUCCUCCUCCACAAGGACAGCAUUAUCUCCAUGUAAGCUUCAUCACUGCAAAAUGGAGUUCAAUGGAAAUGUGUGGAUGUGUGUGUGUGUGUGACAAUGUUUACUAAGUUCAAUCCUCCAAAAGGGUUCAACUCUUCCCAAAGGCAGCACGAGCCUCCUCACGGUGACUCCAAUGCAGGUUUAGUGGGGCUGUGAUAUAGGUUCGAUAACACAAUCAGUUAUUUUCUCCUCAUCAAGCUGAGGAGAACAUUUCAUCUCCCUCCCUUCGCUCUAAUUCGCUGCCAGUUUCAAUUAAGACUCAUAAUUACUUUUCUCCUUGCCUGCUAAAAUGACUCAGUUCAUGUUGAUAAAAGAUGACACUUGCAGUUGCCGAGAAUUUCUAUUAAAUACACUCCAGAUCUCAUUUAUUGUUUGACACUUGAGGAUGAAAACAUAAAGACAACUUUAAAUACUGUCACAUCCAUGGAUUGCAUUAAUUUCUCUUAUUAGCCAGCUUUUUUUUUACUAAUCAAUUAAAUACAAGAUUCUGAUUGGUUAAAACCCCUUUGCAACACGCUGACAAUGAUAAUGAACUCUGCGUUGAAAGAGUAACACCAGACACAACCAGAUCACACCCAUACGGAAGGGGAUUAGGGCCACUGGAAAG